AUGGCGACACCUGCCUCCUCACGCCUGCUCGACGGCCGCCGUCCGGUGCUGUGGCCGCCGGCAGAGUGGAGCGACGAAGCAGAGCCAGGCAGGAAAUGGGAGGUGCACGACAUGGCAACGCCCUCACCCUCAUCUUCGCUCCUCCUCGAGGGCCGCCCUCCUGGCCUUUGGCCGCCGCCGGAGUGGAAGAAGAAGAUGAAGCCAGAGGAGGUAACCAGAGACUGGGCGGAGCUGCCGCGGGAUGCGCUGCUACUGGUGCUCGAGAAACUGCACCAGGUCGACGUUCUCCUGGGGGCCGAGCUGGUGUGUCGUCCCUGGCACCGGGCUACCCGGGACGAGCCGUCCUUGUGGCGCCGAAUUGACUUGCGGUUAAGCCAUCUCCCCGACCCCUCCUCUUACCGCUUCCACCCCAUGGGCCACGCCGCCAUCCAGCGCAGCCGAGGGAGCUGCGAGACACUGUACAGCGAGGGCGCCAUCGAUGAAGAGGCCAUAUCUCUCCUGAAAGAGUCGGCGCUCUUCUUGAAGAGUCUUCGACUAAUCAAUUGUAUAUUGAUCAAUGAUAGGAUCAGCCUUAACAUAUCACAUUUGGUUAUGCUUGAGGAGCUAGAAAUCUCAAACUAUGGUGUCCACAAGUUCUCUUCCACAUGCUUCGCGGUUGGAUACUCUUGCCCGCACCUGAAGCGUUUUCGUCUCAGCAGUUCAUGCUUCAUUAAACGGCCCGUCUGGGGCGCGAUUGAUUGCGAAGUUGAGGGGAUCACCCUGAUGCGUGGGCUACGUUCGUUGCAGCUCUUUGCUCAGACUAUUAGCACAACUGGGUUGGCAGCCAUCCUCGAUAGCUGUGUGCAAAUAGAUUCUCUUGACAUUCGCCAUUGUUUCCAUGUUGAGAUGGGAGAUGAGUUAAUGUCAAGGUGUUCUAAGUUUGAGACUUUAAGGCUCCCACAUGAUUCUACUGACGAUUACGAUCUUGAGUUUUCAGCCCCAGAUAUGAACACUGAGAGCCCACGACCACGACCUGUGCGCAAUUACGGGGACGACGGCUGCGCCUUUUUGGAGGAUUUGCAGGAAAAAAAACACUACCUAGAGCAGCUCAACGCAUUUUGGCGUGGGGUCACCAUCGAUGAGGGAGUCUACCCGGCAACGGGCGAUGGCUUGGUGCCAAGGCCGCUGGAGCCAGCCGGUUGUGGCUCAGCCUCACCUCGCAGCUCCUUCCUCCUCUGUCCCACCGAUGCACGACACCCACACAUGAGGGUGACUCCCAACCUCUCGAUGUGCCCCACGUGCCACGACGCCCGCGCCCCUGGACCAACCCCACAGAUCCCAUCCUUAAACCCACUGUUCUCCACUCAUUUCCCUAGCUCGCGGACCCCUACUUGCCAUGAAGCUGCCAAGCCAAAGCUCAGAAUCCCCGCCAUCGUAGCUCCGCUCCGGCGAGCAAUUCUGAUGGUGCUGUUUUUGACACAUAGGUCUUCCUCGUCGAUUAUUUAA
rnacentral:rRNA from 1 species